UGUUUAUCAUCUCCCUCCACUCCCUUAUAUAAACCUCCCAAUCCUCAACCACUCUCUACCACUACUCCUGUUUCAAUAUUCGUUCUGGAAUCUCGCAAACUUUUUUGUUUAUUUCUUCUCAAACUUACAUACAUUAACCUUUCUUAUACUAUCAUGGCUUCCAGGGUGGUUUUUGUUUUGGUGAUGGCGGUGAUGUUGCUUGCCAUCAACUGUAACUGCACCAGUGUUGGUCACAUGCCUUCAACCAAAGAGGAAGGUCGUGAUUUUGAGGAGGCUAAAGCCAAGACCACACAAACAGCCAACAAGGCCAUGGACACUGGUAAAGAGGGGAAAGAAGCUGCAGAGUCAUGGACAGAAUGGGCUAAAGAGAAAA
rnacentral:lncRNA from 1 species